rnacentral:misc_RNA from 1 species
GAUGAAGAACGCAGCGAAAUGCGAUAAGUAGUGUGAAUUGCAGAAUUCAGUGAAUCAUCGAGUCUUUGAACGCACAUUGCGCCCCAUGGUAUUCCGUGGGGCAUGCCUGUUUGAGCGUCAUUUACCCCCUCAAGCUCCGCUUGGUGUUGGGCGUCUGUCCCGCUUCGCGCGCGGACUCGCCCCAAAGGUAUUGGCAGCGGUCGUGCCAGCUUCUCGCGCAGCACAUUGCGCUUCUCGAGGCACCGGUGGGCCCGCGUCCAUCAAGCUCACCCCCCCAGUUUGACCUCGGAUCAGGUAGGGAUACCCGCUGAACUUAAGCAUAUCAAUAAGCGGAGGA